rnacentral:rRNA from 1 species
GACGGGUGAGUAACACGUGGGUAACCUGCCCUUAAGUGGGGGAUAACAUUUGGAAACAGAUGCUAAUACCGCAUAGAUCCAAGAACCGCAUGGUUCUUGGCUGAAAGAUGGCGUAAGCUAUCGCUUUUGGAUGGACCCGCGGCGUAUUAGCUAGUUGGUGAGGUAAUGGCUCACCAAGGCGAUGAUACGUAGCCGAACUGAGAGGUUGAUCGGCCACAUUGGGACUGAGACACGGCCCAAACUCCUACGGGAGGCAGCAGUAGGGAAUCUUCCACAAUGGACGCAAGUCUGAUGGAGCAACGCCGCGUGAGUGAAGAAGGCUUUCGGGUCGUAAAACUCUGUUGUUGGAGAAGAAUGGUCGGCAGAGUAACUGUUGUCGGCGUGACGGUAUCCAACCAGAAAGCCACGGCUAACUACGUGCCAGCAGCCGCGGUAAUACGUAGGUGGCAAGCGUUAUCCGGAUUUAUUGGGCGUAAAGCGAGCGCAGGCGGUUUUUUAAGUCUGAUGUGAAAGCCCUCGGCUUAACCGAGGAAGCGCAUCGGAAACUGGGAAACUUGAGUGCAGAAGAGGACAGUGGAACUCCAUGUGUAGCGGUGAAAUGCGUAGAUAUAUGGAAGAACACCAGUGGCGAAGGCGGCUGUCUGGUCUGUAACUGACGCUGAGGCUCGAAAGCAUGGGUAGCGAACAGGAUUAGAUACCCUGGUAGUCCAUGCCGUAAACGAUGAAUGCUAGGUGUUGGAGGGUUUCCGCCCUUCAGUGCCGCAGCUAACGCAUUAAGCAUUCCGCCUGGGGAGUACGACCGCAAGGUUGAAACUCAAAGGAAUUGACGGGGGCCCGCACAAGC